CGCCCGCCUCAGCCUCCCAAAGUGCUGGGAUUACAGGUGUAAGCCACCGUGCCCAGCUUAUUUUUACUAUUUUUUUGAGAGAGAAUCUCACUCUGUCACCCAGGCUGGAGUGCAGUGGCACGAUCUUGGCUGACUGCAACCUCCGCCUCCUAAGUUUCAAGCAAUUCUCCUGCCUCCUGCCUCAGCCUCCUGAGUAUCUGGGACCAUAGGCACGCACUACCACACCUGGCUAAUUUUUGUAUUUUUAGUAGAGACGGAGUCUCACCAUGUUGGCCAGGCUGGUCUCAAAUUCCUGACCUCAGGUGAUCCGCCUGCCUCUGCCUCCCAAAGUGCUGGGAUUAUAGGUGUGAGCCACCAUGCCCGGCCGGUUAUCCAGUUUUUAAAUCUCAUUGCUUUAAACUUUCUCAUAUAUGAAUUUUUUUUUUCGGUUAUUGAGACAGAGUCUCGCUUUGUCAUCCAUGGAGGCUGGACUGCAGUGGCAGUGGCAUGAACAUGGCUCACUGCCAUCUUGACCUCCCAGGCUCAAGGGAUCCUCUUGCCUCAGCCCCCCAAGUAGCUGGGACCAUGAGUGCGUGUCACCAUGUCUGGUUAAUUUUUGUAUUUUUGUAGAGAUGGUGUUUCACCAUGUUGCCCAGGCUGGUCUUGAACUCCUGAGCUCAAGUGAUCCUCCCAUCUUGGCCUCCCAAAGUACUGGGAUUACAGGUGUGAGCUACCGUGCCUGGCCGACUAAUUUUUGAAAACCAUAUUAUGGGCCAGGUGCAGUGGCUCACGCAGGUAAUCCCAGCACUUUGGGAGGCCAAGGCAGGCAGAUCACGA
rnacentral:lncRNA from 1 species